rfam:Pygoscelis adeliae contig102653, whole genome shotgun sequence.
CCACAGGUUUUUUUAAAGACCAUCAAAAUCACUAAUAGGCAUUUAA